UUAGGUAAAACUCCACAAAAUAAUUUGAGCUAUAAUGGCGUUUUUAACGGAUACGCCGCAAAAAAGGGCGCGCCCUAAAUCCCCCAAAUUUCCCAUUUCCAGCAACACCAAGUCAAUACAUGUACUGUAUUUGUUCGGCUGAGAAAAAAAAAGGAAAGAAGGAGGUCGGGAACCGGCGAAGUUCGUCGAAUUUCACCCAUUCGUCAUCGGAGCUUCCAAAAAAAUAACUCUUUAUUUGAGGUUCGAUCGCGGAUAUAGAAAAGAAUCGGGAAAAUGAAGGGAUCUGGACCUCCUGUUGCGACCGUGCUCGUUGCGUCUACGGUGGCUCUCACUUCGUCUUCAUCCGCCGAAGUCCAACAUGUUUCUUUUUCUCCAACCUCCUCUAACCAGGAGUCACAGAACAGUGCGUCGAGGAAUCGUACGGCGUUAUUAAGGAGGUUGACAUGGUUAUAGUACCAGCCACAACUGGACAGAUGGGUGUUCUUCCAGGACAUGUAGCAACAAUUGCAGAAUUUAAGCCUGGUGUGCUGUCAGUGCAUGAAGGAAGUGAAACUACAAAGUACUUUGUCAGCAGCGGUUUUUGUUUUUAUCCAUGCCAACUCAUUUGCAGAUAUAAUUACUGUCAAGGCAGUGCCACUCGAUCGGAUCGACGCAAAUCUUGUCCAAAAAAGGCUUGUAGAUUUCACCUAGAAGCUGAGCUAGCCACAACUGAAUUGGAGAAAGCUGAAGCACAGAUUGGGAUUGAUGUUCAUAGCGCACUAAACUCAACUCUCACAGGCUAACCGUUGUUUGCCAUUAUGUCCAUUGGCUCAUGUUUUGAAGGAGAAUGGGAACUUGUUGGAAUUGGUUGAUACAAGGAUUGGCUCAGAUUGCAACAUAGAUGAAGUGAUGGAUAUGAUCAGCAUUGCACUAUUGUGAACUAUGAUUCUAUCAGAUAAAACAAGGUACUGAAGCAGCACCAAGAAAGAACAUAUAUGUUCUUUUACAGGGAAACUAGACCUGGGAACAUGCAAAACUUAAUGCAGACUUUACAAAGAAACCUGAGACAAGAAAUGUGAUGAAGAUGAUUAUAUUCUCACCUACCAGGACAAAGAAGGAGAAUGGCUGACUGCAGGCGAUAUUCCAUGGCACUGUUGGUUUUAAUUAGAUGAGGCUAACAUCUCCAUCACCGGUGUAUAGAGGUAUCUUCGUCACGUUCCUCGUAGGUUCAAGACAGGUUUCAGAGAAGGUACUAAAGCAGCACCAAGAAAGAAGGUUGCAGUAGCUUCUGCUUAAAAGGCAAAUUGUAAUGGUAUGAGGUUUUGUUUUGGAUAAAGUCAUGUUUAUGAGGAAACAUUUAGUGAUGAAGAGUGAAAUUAUGUUCCAUUGGAUGCUUUAGUUGUUAUUUAAUUUCUAUUUGAAGGUGGCUGUCUUAUAUUUUGAACAUUUAUUGGAGCUAAUGUUUGACCCUUAA